UACGUAGGGCGCAAGCGUUGUCCGGAAUUAUUGGGCGUAAAGAGCUCGUAGGCGGCUUGUCGCGUCGGAUGUGAAAGCUCGGGGCUUAACCCCGGGUCUGCAUUCGAUACGGGCAGGCUAGAGUGUGGUAGGGGAGAUCGGAAUUCCUGGUGUAGCGGUGGAAUGCGCAGAUAUCAGGAGGAACACCGGUGGCGAAGGCGGGUCUCUGGGCAGUAACUGACGCUGAGGAGCGAAAGCGUGGGGAGCGAACAGG
rnacentral:rRNA from 1 species